UUCUAUGUGCUGCUGUGACAUGAAGUGAAGAUCUCUGAUAAACUAAAGGAAAUUUGUAAGUUGUAUAGCUCAUACAGACAGAAAAAAAGCUUUAUAGUGCUACAGUUUAAAUGUAUAAUAUUUCAUUGUUUUUUUACCAUUAAUUCUGCUUGUGUUUGAUUUAGUGCAAUCAUUAAUGAAAUGUUUGAUUGUCCAGUAGUUUCUGUCAUGAUCAUUUGAUAACCCCACUUAUCUCCUCAUUUCUCUUUGGCUGUGCUGCUGUGACAUGAAGCGGAUUACUCUGAACGACUAAAGCAAAUGUCGAAGUACUGUGAACAAGAAUUGUGCAAGAUCUCUGAACGAUUAAAGCAAAUGUCUUUGACAAAGAAAGGGGAGAUCUCCGAACAAAAAACACGUGCUGAUGGCACAAAAGAAGAGACAACGAGAUCAGAGAUGGCGAAAGGUGAAAGUGAACAGUCCAUUAUUGUUGAAGAUACUGCUAUAAGUCAAGCGAUUGGAGGGCCACGUGGGGCUGAUGGGAGAAUCAGAGACAGACAGGGCAAGAGCCUUGUAGUCCGUAACACCGGUACUGAACAUACUGGAGUUUGUACACAUGAAUCAACAGGAAAAGGAGUGAAUGAAGAAACAUCUGUUAUUAGUGAAUGAGCAACAGAAGAAGAGUUCAGUUUAAUGGUAUAAACAUGCACAUAUUACAGUCUCCACUAUUAUUUUAUUGUUGUUCCGUCUCUUUAGUUUUAUUUUCUACUGGGAAACAGCAACCAGGGCCAGUGUUGCCACCUUUUAGAAAAACUGAUUAGUGCAAGUCAAUGCGCAGGUGUACAAACUAAUACACUAAUAACAAUAUAAAACACUACAAUCUGAUAAGCUGUUGAGUUAAUGAAUGUUAAUCACAUUAGAGC
rnacentral:lncRNA from 1 species